GGAUGAACGCUAGCUACAGGCUUAACACAUGCAAGUCGAGGGGCAUCAGGAAGAAAGCUUGCUUUCUUUGCUGGCGACCGGCGCACGGGUGAGUAACACGUAUCCAACCUGCCCUUUACUCGGGGAUAGCCUUUCGAAAGAAAGAUUAAUACCCGAUAGCAUAAUGAUUCCGCAUGGUUUCAUUAUUAAAGGAUUCCGGUAAAGGAUGGGGAUGCGUUCCAUUAGGUUGUUGGUGGGGUAACGGCCCACCAAGCCUUCGAUGGAUAGGGGUUCUGAGAGGAAGGUCCCCCACAUUGGAACUGAGACACGGUCCAAACUCCUACGGGAGGCAGCAGUGAGGAAUAUUGGUCAAUGGGCGCUAGCCUGAACCAGCCAAGUAGCGUGAAGGAUGAAGGCUCUAUGGGUCGUAAACUUCUUUUAUAUAAGAAUAAAGUGCAGUAUGUAUACUGUUUUGUAUGUAUUAUAUGAAUAAGGAUCGGCUAACUCCGUGCCAGCAGCCGCGGUAAUACGGAGGAUCCGAGCGUUAUCCGGAUUUAUUGGGUUUAAAGGGAGCGUAGGUGGACUGGUAAGUCAGUUGUGAAAGUUUGCGGCUCAACCGUAAAAUUGCAGUUGAUACUGUCAGUCUUGAGUACAGUAGAGGUGGGCGGAAUUCGUGGUGUAGCGGUGAAAUGCUUAGAUAUCACGAAGAACUCCGAUUGCGAAGGCAGCUCACUGGACUGCAACUGACACUGAUGCUCGAAAGUGUGGGUAUCAAACAGGAUUAGAUACCCUGGUAGUCCACACAGUAAACGAUGAAUACUCGCUGUUUGCGAUAUACAGUAAGCGGCCAAGCGAAAGCAUUAAGUAUUCCACCUGGGGAGUACGCCGGCAACGGUGAAACUCAAAGGAAUUGACGGGGGCCCGCACAAGCGGAGGAACAUGUGGUUUAAUUCGAUGAUACGCGAGGAACCUUACCCGGGCUUAAAUUGCAGUGGAAUGAUGUGGAAACAUGUCAGUGAGCAAUCACCGCUGUGAAGGUGCUGCAUGGUUGUCGUCAGCUCGUGCCGUGAGGUGUCGGCUUAAGUGCCAUAACGAGCGCAACCCUUAUCUUUAGUUACUAACAGGUCAUGCUGAGGACUCUAGAGAGACUGCCGUCGUAAGAUGUGAGGAAGGUGGGGAUGACGUCAAAUCAGCACGGCCCUUACGUCCGGGGCUACACACGUGUUACAAUGGGGGGUACAGAAGGCAGCUAGCGGGUGACCGUAUGCUAAUCCCAAAAGCCUCUCUCAGUUCGGAUCGAAGUCUGCAACCCGACUUCGUGAAGCUGGAUUCGCUAGUAAUCGCGCAUCAGCCACGGCGCGGUGAAUACGUUCCCGGGCCUUGUACACACCGCCCGUCAAGCCAUGGGAGCCGGGGGUACCUAAAGUACGUAACCGCAAGGAUCGUCCUAGGGUAAAACU
rnacentral:rRNA from 1 species